GUGGCUAUAGCUCAAUGGUUAGAGCGCUUGCCUGUGGAGCAAGAUGUUGCCGGUUCGAGCCCGGUUAGCCACCCCA
rnacentral:tRNA from 1 species